GAAUAUUGAAAUUAUUAUUGAAAACUCUAUCGGUUCUUCUUGUGUGGAAAUAAUAAUAUUAUGCUAAUAUAUUCAUGGUAGAUAAGUAAUUGGGUAAACUUCUUGAUAAAAUAAAAACAUCAUUUAUAUAAUCCUAUCUGCGCCGACGAUGGUUCAAUGUACUCGAUAAAAAAACCGACAAUGGCCAAUACCUACACUGUUACUAUAAUGCACGGACGAUCCUUGUACUGUUUGAUCUAUAGGACUUUGGACCUAUUUAAAAAUCCUAUAUAAACCGCUUGAACACGCUUGCGACCGUUGUAAUACGCCUUAUAGUUUCCAUCGCAUUAACGUCGACAAUUGUCUGCAGACAACUUUCAUUACAAAAAUUGAAAAUGGCCAUCGAAAAGAACUCCUUGAACAUAGUCGUUGUCGGACAGGUCACGAAGGGAAAUGCUUUCAUCGACCCAAUCGUGCCCAUUUUAAAAAAAACAAAUCGACGAUCAAAGAAAUGAAUUCUGAAAUUUGGUACUAAAAUAAGGAAAUAAAAGAUGAUCAUUUCAUCCAAAUCGGUUAAUAUUCAAAAAUGACUCGUGACGACUAAUAUUAUAUUAUGUAGUUCAAUAAGAAAAUAGUAAAAUUCCAAAUAUAGCCAAUUAAUAUUUUAGUCCGUGCAAACA